rnacentral:rRNA from 1 species
UACGUUCCCGGCCUUGUACACACCGCCCGUCACACCACGAAAGUCGGCAAUACCCGAAGCCGGUGGCCUAACCCUUUUGGGAGGGAGCCGUCGAAGGUAGGGUCGAUGAUUGGGGUG